rnacentral:lncRNA from 13 species
CUUUCUUCUUCCACAGGAAUAGACAUAAAGGUAAGAUUUUGUUACGUUUCUCAUUUUGAACAAAAUGUUUGAGUAUCUGGGUUUAUCCUUUGUCAGCAGACACUUUGUUUACUGAACCAUGUUUCCUGGAAUAUGAUGCUGAGCAGAGACUGGCCUAUGUGAUCAACUGAUGGACUCACAGAAAGAACAAUUUUAUAACCUGGGAAAGAAUGGGACUGAGCUGACCUCUCCGUAUGUCCUGGGGAGAUUUUAGAGGAUGCACAGAAACACAUGAUUGUCUGGAGUUAGCCCCAUCGCAGGCUGCUGAGAAAGACAGCUGCAGACUAUCUUGAGCUAAAAUCACAAUGUUAGCUCACCAAGAGACACUUGCUGCCAACCCAGCUGGCCUGAGAUCUGGAAUUCACACUGCCUCUGUGGCAGACAUUGGCCCACCUGUUUUCUCUGGCUCAGAGUGCAAGGAUUCAUCACUUAGCUGCCCUCAAUGGGACUAAGAAGAUAAUACAAAGCGGUUGGAGGACGAGGGUUGCACAGCUCAAAGGGCUGAGUUUACAGGUUAAUAAAAAUAUCCAAUGAGC